rnacentral:rRNA from 1 species
AUUGAACGCUGGCGGCAGGCCUAACACAUGCAAGUCGAGCGGAUGAAGGGAGCUUGCUCCUGGAUUCAGCGGCGGACGGGUGAGUAAUGCCUAGGAAUCUGCCUGGUAGUGGGGGAUAACGUCCGGAAACGGGCGCUAAUACCGCAUACGUCCUGAGGGAGAAAGUGGGGGAUCUUCGGACCUCACGCUAUCAGAUGAGCCUAGGUCGGAUUAGCUAGUUGGUGGGGUAAAGGCCUACCAAGGCGACGAUCCGUAACUGGUCUGAGAGGAUGAUCAGUCACACUGGAACUGGGACACGGUCCAGACUCCUACGGGAGGCAGCAGUGGGGAAUAUUGGACAAUGGGCGAAAGCCUGAUCCAGCCAUGCCGCGUGUGUGAAGAAGGUCUUCGGAUUGUAAAGCACUUUAAGUUGGGAGGAAGGGCAGUAAGUUAAUACCUUGCUGUUUUGACGUUACCAACAGAAUAAGCACCGGCUAAUUUCGUG